UACAGAGGGUGCGAGCGUUGUCCGGAAUUACUGGGCGUAAAGCGUGCGCAGGCGGUUCUCCAAGUCCGUUGUGAAAGCCCCGGGCUCAACCUGGGAAUGGCAGUGGAAACUAGGGGACUUGAAUCUGGCAGAGGGGGGUGGAAUUCCACGGUGUAGCAGUGAAAUGCGUAGAGAAUGUGGAGGAACACCGAUGGCGAAGGCAGCCCCCUGGGCUGAGAUUGACGCUCAGGCACGAAAGCGUGGGGAGCAAACAGG
rnacentral:rRNA from 1 species